CACAAUGCAAGGUCUCACCCUCUCUCUCCUCCCAUUUUCUUCCUCCUUUUUACUCCUCUUUCUCUCUCUUGCAUGUUUGUUCUUUCAUCUGGUUGGUUAGACAGAGAAGGAAGCAAGCAGCACAGAGAUAAGGGCAGAGAGAGAGAGAGAGAGAGAAGCUGUGAGCUCGUUGCCGCAAGUCUGCAACUGCGAGGAGAGGAGGAGGAGCAAUAAAUAGAAAAUUAAUGGUCGGAUCGAGCUAGCGGCUCAUGGCGGCGUUUGCAGGCGGCGCCCUAGAAUUCCUCCCCUCCCGCUGCUGCUGCUGCACCCACUCCCACCUCUUCUUCUUCCUCCUCCUCUUCUUCUUUAUAUAGCCCAUCCACCUCUCCUCCUCACCACCUCAAAAAGGCACCACCACCAUCACCACCACUAGUGCUACCUAAGCUAACCCAAGAACCUCUCUUCCUCCUCCUAACCCUUGUUACUUAGACCCCGAGUCCCCGAUUAGGAGAGGAGGAAGAAGAAGGAGUGGAAAUCUCUCUACAAAAAGAGGAGAAUUCUAGCUAGAGGUGAGUGGUUGUAGAAACUGUAUUGGUGCUACUAGAGUGGAGUGCUACUGUGUACUGCAUCUGCAUGCCACCCACUCGCUCGCUCUCUCCUCCAUGUCUAUGCCUGCAUGAUCUCUCACUACAGAUCUAUGGUUGUAGCUUGUGAGUGAGUGAGUGAGAAUUGAAGCAGCAGCAGAAGCUAUGCAUGUCAUCUUUGCAGCUUAUCUGAUUCUGACCUAGCUACAUGUACAAUCCCAUGACAGCUGCCAUGUUCUCUUGCUGCUGCUGCUUUUUUUUUUUUUGGACAAGAUCUGAUUUUUUUUGGUGUAGGGGAUAAUAAUUAAAGGGGAGAUCGAAGAAGAAGAAGAAGAAGAGCAGGAGCUAGCUGGUGUUGCACUCGAGGUUUCUGGAUGGGCGGCGCAUGGCGGGAUUCUCUCUGAGGGGAGGAGGAGGCGGAGGCGGAGGAGGAGG
rnacentral:lncRNA from 1 species